rnacentral:lncRNA from 1 species
UUCCUGUUCUCCGAGCUCUCCACCCUCACCCUCCGGGCCCCAGUAGACGUCAACCAACAUGAGGCACCGUCGCCACUCGCCGCGCCAUUCAUAGUACGCAGCCUGGACAUCUCCAUGCAUGAAAUUGGCUUCUGGGAUAAGCGUAUCUUUUAUUUUCUUUUGAUCCUAGUACCUAAAGCAUGAACACUAUCUCAGUUAGUUGGGCUCAAUCAUCCAGUAGUUAUUAUGCUGAUAAAUUUAUCUCAGGAGAAACAGAUCAGCGCACCUAGAGAAUAAGAAUCAAGCAGGAAGCUAACACGCCCGUGAAGGGAGAUGUUGGGCUUGCGGUUAGCACCGCACACACGCGCAUGCACCUCGCGGACAGCUAGCUCCUCUCGAAACUCAAUGCAGCGCGCAACUGCAUGCACACGAGCUAGCGAUCGAUGACGAGGAUAUGCGCGCAAAGGCCGGGAGGUGACCAUCGACAAAUGUGCUCCUAAUCAUAUAUGCGCUC